CAACCCUCCCGUCCUCCCGGGCUGCGUCUCCCCGACGGUGCCCUCCGUGGAAACUUCAGCCUCUUCGGGCUUCUCUUUGCUAGUGCAUUAUCGAAGGUGUGAAAGUGGCUUUGGGAAUCUCACCCCCCUGCGGUCGCUGUGGGGCUUGGAGGAGCGAACUGAAAAGCAACUUUUAUUUGACCCUCAUGCCGCCCCUCAGAUUCUCUCUUCCAUCACUCGCCUGCUUCGAGAGGUUUUUCAGUUUAAGAGCUGGCUAGCUCAUUCGUGUGUUUGCUGUUUGUAGCCGGGGAAGGAGAAGCUGGGCGAAACACUUAACACGCACACAAACUCUUCAGCAGCGGAUAAGCGGACAAGGCAAAAUCUCAGCAAGUUCGGACCUCUAGUACAAUAAGGCGAACCUCCUCUUUGGAUACAAUAACAGGACCUUACCUCACGGGACAGUGGCCACGGGAUCCUCAUGUUCACUACCCUUCAUGCAUGAAAGACAAAGCUACUCAGACACCUAGCUGUUGGGCAGAAGAGGGUGCAGAAAAGAGGUCACAUCAGCGUUCUGCGUCAUGGGGGAGUGCUGAUCAACUAAAAGAGCAGAUCGCCAAACUGAGGCAGCAACUACAACGCAGUAAACAGAGUAGUCGUCACAGUAAGGAGAAAGAUCGCCAGUCACCUCUUCAUGGCAACCAUAUAACAAUCAGUCACACUCAGGCUACUGGAUCAAGGUCAGUUCCUAUGCCACUGUCAAAUAUAUCAGUGCCAAAAUCAUCUGUUUCACGUGUGCCCUGCAAUGUAGAAGGAAUAAGUCCUGAAUUAGAAAAGGUAUUCAUUAAAGAAAAUAAUGGGAAGGAAGAAGUAUCCAAGCCGUUGGACAUACCAGAUGGUCGAAGAGCUCCACUUCCUGCUCAUUACCGGAGCAGUAGUACUCGCAGCAUUGACACUCAGACUCCUUCUGUCCAGGAGCGCAGCAGUAGCUGCAGCAGUCAUUCACCCUGUGUCUCCCCUUUUUGUCCCCCGGAAUCCCAGGAUGGUAGCCCUUGCUCAACAGAAGAUUUGCUCUAUGAUCGUGAUAAAGGUCUCGUCAGCCUAUCUCGGCCCCUCUCUUUUCAUGUCCUGACAAAAACAAGGUUAAUUUCAUCCCAACCGGAUCAGCUUUCUGUCCUGUAAAACUUCUAGGCCCCCUCUUACCUGCUUCUGACCUUAUGCUCAAGAACUCUCCUAACUCUGGCCAGAGCUCAGCUUUGGCAACUCUGACCGUUGAGCAGCUCUCAUCCCGGGUUUCCUUUACGUCUCUUUCUGAUGACACCAGCACAGCGGGCUCCAUGGAGGCCUCUGUCCAGCAGCCAUCCCAGCAGCAGCAGCUCCUGCAGGAACUGCAGGGUGAGGACCACAUCUCUGCUCAGAACUAUGUGAUCAUCUAAAAAAGGGGGAGCUGGCCUCCACCCUAUGUUCCAUGGAUUCGGAACAAGAUUUCAGACAUCUGCAUGAGUGACAAACUUUCUGAACGCCACCACCACCAGUAAUACUUAUCAGCAUCAUAAAGUAUCUCUUAAACACUGAUCUUGGCAGGGACGGAACUCCUAUUCAGCAGUUUUUGUGGAAAGCAGUAAUGCUUGCAAAACGUGUGUGUCAUUCAGCAUUUUAAGUGGAGACUAUGCAUUUCAUAGUAUAUUUGACAGAUUAGUACUGUGUCCUGUGUUUUGUUCCAGAUUCUUCAGUAUAAAUAAGCUCUAUAUCAAAAAGUUGCCUGUCUAAAUAGAAAAUGUCUUGCUGUGUUUUGUCCUAUGGAAAAUACUGUAAUUCAGGAUUAUGUUUACAAUUGAUCCAGGUGUUUGUUUCUAACUUCUGUAAUACAUACAAUGCAAAAAAAAAAAAAAAAAAAUGGCCACAACAGUUGCACAGUGCCCACCCUAUGGCCUAGCUUCAGGUACUUCAGUUGAAGUCUAAACUCAGGUAACUUGGAAUGUAUAUCAUAUUGGGAUAUUAACUAUUUCACAGCUAAAAAGCUAAAGAGGGAACAUCACUCUUUUGCCUUUCCUUAUUUUAUGCAUUUCCCUUUCCUCAUUACAUUCCACAUUCUUAGAAUAAGAAGUGCAUUCAAUCCUAGGAGAAUGAUAAUCCUGGACAUGGGUGAACAUGAGGAGAACCAGCAAAAUCUGUGGUGUUUGACAUCACUUUGUCAUGUGGUUACAAGUAAAACAACUGUUGCAUUCACUGUUUCAACAUGUGUACAUGUGGCUUUUUUAAAAGUUCAGGUGUUGCUCAGUAAAGGACUGUGACAAUGUUGCAAAUAAAGUGUUCAGUACUGGACUGUACAUAAACAUUCCACAUUGUGUGUGAUGAAAUUUAAAGACAAGAAUGUCUAGAGUUAAUUUCAAAAUAAGUGAAGUGUUUGACGGAAUGGUUGAGAUUUUUUUGUUUAUGUUAGCCAUCAGGGUCAUAACUGUUACCAUUUUAUCUAAAGACAGAUUUAUAUUUAGUUUCUCCCUUGGAAAUUCUUUAUUUUGCAGGUGAAAAAGUGACAUACUUUUUGUUAUUGUCUUCCUCAAGCAGUUUAGGUGCAUGAUCUUCAUUUACAUAGAAUACUUGGGUCUCAGAAUUGAUGCAACAUAAGCAGGUUUUUUGGUGACUUACAAGAGCUAUAGUUUGAAGCUAUCUCAUUUAAGCCUCUCAUAAUACAUAAUCAUGAGUAGUUUUGAAAUUUGCAACCUGUGAGGUAGAGCAUAAACUCAAGAAAAUAGCCUUGAACUUGCAGACUUUUGACACAAGUUCUCCACAAAGUGUGAAGAGAGCCCUAGGCAUUCCUGAUUGGUCAAUGGGAGAGCCUAACUUUCAUUGUUUUUUGGAUACAAAGAGUAUCCAAAAGCGAAGUUUUUGUAUUCCACUACUUUCAGUUCAGUAAAACCUAGAGUUGUUUCAUCUGCGCCUAAAGUGUAUGGCACAAUUUUCUUAAGAAUUAGGGGAACCAGGUGCCUACAGUUAAAGGAACGUUUCAGUUCCUUUCAUUCAUUCCUGGGUUUUUCUUUUAUUUUCUAAGAAGGUUGAAGAAGGAUGAGUGAUAGAGAAGAAAGCAACACCAUUGAUUUUUUUUUUUAAGAAAUGAUAUAUAUAUGUAUAUGUUUGUGUGUGUGUGUGUGUGUGUGUGUGUGUGUGUAUUCUGUGCAUUAUUUUGUCAUGAUCUCAAUUCUCUUCUUUCCACCAAAGUUUGCCGUAAUAUUUUCUCUUGAAGGUGCAUUCUGGCUCCUUUAAAUUAGUCAGUGUUAUAUUGUAGGAGACUGUCAUGGAAAAAAGGACUCAGUUUACUUUUGUCAUUUUCACAGGGGAACCUUUUAAAACAAUCUUUUCAGCAGCAGAUACCUUUAACCCUAAUAAUCUCAGGCCUUGAUGAAAAUACUAUAUUUUGUAGAUUAUGGUUAAAGGGAGAAAAUUACUAGUUCCGUAAGAUAAAUAUGAGCUCCAUUUGACUUCUGAUAUCUGGUUUAGCAUUACAUAAUAUGUUGAUCUUACACUCUGCUUUUGUCCAAAUAAAAUGCAAUAGUAUCAAUAUCAAUUUCAGAAAAAUGGACUGAAUAUGCUUUUUUGGUGAUUAAGUCUGAUGUACGAUAUUUAUAGUGAUGUGCUUUUAUUUUCUCAUGAGAUACUAAAUAUUAAUUGUGUUGUACAUUUGUUCUUAGCAUAUAUUAAAGUUUUGAACCAAAUGUGUUAAAGCUUACGCUUUGCCAUGUAAAUUUCCCAGAAGUUGUUGAGCUCAAAUGUAUCCUACAUCCAGCUGUAGAAAUUUGUCAGAAAUUGUUUAAAUUUUGUAUAUAAUUGUACUGUUUAAUUCUAGCCAUUGCGCUGAACAGUAUUUGAGUUACCAUAUAAUAUGGCUUUACACAAGGAAAUGUGUGGCUUUUGUUUUGUAUUUUUUCAGUAUAGAAGUUCC
rnacentral:lncRNA from 1 species